AACGAGGCCGACCUGCGGCUGAGUUACCUGCGGAAGGAUCAUUACCGAGUGAGGGCCCUCCGGGUCCAACCUCCCACCCGUGUUUAACGAACCUUGUUGCUUCGGCGGGCCCGCCUCACGGCCGCCGGGGGGCACCCCGCCCCCGGGCCCGCGCCCGCCGAAGACACCUGUGAACGCUGUCUGAAGUUGCAGUCUGAGACACUAGCUCAAUCAGUUAAAACUUUUAGCAACGGAUCUCAG
rnacentral:misc_RNA from 1 species